GUCGAUAUGGAGGAUGAGGAUAGUAUUAAAGGCUUUAUGGAUAGGAUUGGAGGAGAAAGAGGAGAAGGAGAUGUGGAAGAAGAGGAGGAGGGAGAAGAGGCCACUGAUAAUGAAUGGAUUGAGGUGGAGAGAAUACCAUGAGGGCAAGGCCAGCUCGUAGGUUGCUUUAAAGAAAGUGGAUGACAAAGAGGAGAAGAGAGAGGAGAGGAAGGGGACUAGGAAUGAUAGAUUGCCGACGAGAGGGGGUAGUGGUGGAGAGGGCCACUAUAGAAGGAUAAAGGCUUAUGGACGGAUUUAGAGGAGGAAGAGGAUGAGAAGGAGAAGUAUAUAAGGAGGAAGAGGAGGAGAGGAGAGGAGAGAAGAUGACUCAUGGGUGAUUUGGAGGGGGAGAAAGAUGAGAAGAAAAAAUAGAUGAGGAGGAAGGAGAGUAAGAGGAUGGAUGGAUCAUCGACAAAAAAUGAUUGGAGGUGGAGAAAACUAUCAUGGAGGGGAAGGACUCAUUGGUGAGCCUGAAGUCAGAGAAGUGGGUGAGAAAAAAUGGGAGGAGUGAAAAGAGGGAUCAUCGAUGAGAAAUAGAUGGAGGUGGAGCGAGCCACCAUAGAGGAGGAGAAAUAAAUGAGAUGAAAAGGAAGACGGAGAAGGAGGAGGAAGAAAAAGAGACCGACGAUAGAGGAUGAGGGGGGAUCAAUCGAAGAAGAGAGAGGA
rnacentral:lncRNA from 1 species